rnacentral:rRNA from 1 species
GACAGAGGGUGCAAACGUUGUUCGGAUUUACUGGGCGUAAAGCGCGUGUAGGCGGCUUUGCAAGUCGGAUGUGAAAGCCCACGGCUCAACCGUGGAAGUGCAUCCGAAACUGCAUGGCUUGAGUCUCGGAGAGGAAGGUGGAAUGCUUGGUGUAGAGGUGAAAUUCGUAGAUAUCAAGCAGAACACCGGUGGCGAAGGCG